AAACUAUUAAAAAAUUUAUUUUGAAAAUAAAUUUAGAGAUUUUGUUCUUGUAGUUUU
rnacentral:tRNA from 1 species